AUUGAGUUUGAUCCUGGCUCAGAGCGAACGCUGGCGGCAGGCUUAACACAUGCAAGUCGAACGGGCGUAGCAAUACGUCAGUGGCAGACGGGUGAGUAACGCGUGGGAACGUACCUUUUGGUUCGGAACAACACAGGGAAACUUGUGCUAAUACCGGAUAAGCCCUUACGGGGAAAGAUUUAUCGCCGAAAGAUCGGCCCGCGUCUGAUAAGCUAGUUGGUGAGGUAAUGGCUCACCAAGGCGACGAUCAGUAGCUGGUCUGAGAGGAUGAUCAGCCACAUUGGGACUGAGACACGGCCCAAACUCCUACGGGAGGCAGCAGUGGGGAAUAUUGGGCAAUGGGCGCAAGCCUGAUCCAGCCAUGCCGCGUGAGUGAUGAAGGCCCUAGGGUUGUAAAGCUCUUUUGUGCGGGAAGAUAAUGACGGUACCGCAAGAAUAAGCCCCGGCUAACUUCGUGCCAGCAGCCGCGGUAAUAAU
rnacentral:rRNA from 1 species